GAUGAACGCUGGCGGUAUGCUUAACACAUGCAAGUCGAACGGACUCUUCGGAGUUAGUGGCGGACGGGUGAGUAACGCGUGAGAAUCUGGCUUUGGGUUCGGGACAACCACUGGAAACGGUGGCUAAUACCGGAUGUGCCGAGAGGUAAAAGAGAAAUUGCCUGAAGAUGAGCUCGCGUCUGAUUAGCUAGUUGGUGAGGUAAAGGCUCACCAAGGCAGCAAUCAGUAGCUGGUCUGAGAGGAUGACCAGCCACACUGGGACUGAGACACGGCCCAGACUCCUACGGGAGGCAGCAGUGGGGAAUUUUCCGCAAUGGGCGAAAGCCUGACGGAGCAAUACCGCGUGAGGGAAGAAGGCUCUUGGGUUGUAAACCUCUUUUCUUAGGGAAGAACAAAAUGACGGUACCUAAGGAAUCAGCAUCGGCUAACUCCGUG
rnacentral:rRNA from 1 species